CGGGGGAAAAAUUUAUUGCUAUUAGAUGAGCCUAUAUUAGAUUAGCUAGUUGGUGGGGUAAUAGCCUACCAGGGUAAUGAUCUAUAGCUGAUCUGAGAGGAUGAUCAGCCACACUGGAACUGAGAUACGGUCCAGACUCCUACGGGAGGCAGCAGUGGGGAAUAUUGGACAAUGGGCGAAAGCCUGAUCCAGCCAUGCCGCAUGAGUGAAGAAGGCCUUUGGGUUGUAAAGCUCUUUUAGUGAGGAGGAUAAUGACGGUACUCACAGAAGAAGUCCUGGCUAACUCCGUGCCAGCAGCCGCGGUAAUACGGAGAGGGCUAGCGUUAUUCGGAAUUAUUGGGCGUAAAGGGCGCGUAGGCUGGUUAAUAAGUUAAAAGUGAAAUCCCGAGGCUUAACCUUGGAAUUGCUUUUAAAACUAUUAAUCUAGAGAUUGAAAGAGGAUAGAGGAAUUCCUGAUGUAGAGGUAAAAUUCGUAAAUAUUAGGAGGAACACCAGUGGCGAAGGCGUCUAUCUGGUUCAAAUCUGACGCUGAAGCGCGAAGGCGUGGGGAGCAAACAGGAUUAGAUACCCUGGUAGUCCACGCUGUAAACGAUGAAUGUUAAAUAUGGGGAGUUUACUUUCUGUAUUACAGCU
rnacentral:rRNA from 1 species